GCCAGUUAAGAAUUUGUUUGAAUCUCAGUGAAAGUGGAGAAAGUUUAAAUUUGUGCCAACAUAUAAUAUUUAUCCGAUAUUUGACUGUGCAGAUAUCUACUUUGCCCAUCUCUAGCUAGCAGUGAAAUGCAGUGAAAUUGUAAACUUUUUUUCGUUUUGCUGUAAUGUGAAUUUUUUCCAAUUUAUUUUCGAAUAUUUUAUUUAAAAACACAAAAAUUAAGAGAGCACAUAUUAGCGAAAAUAUGGACACGGAGAAAUCUAGCAGCAGCUCCUUCGAGGAUCUGACGAAUGCCGAAGACACGAAGGAUUUACGUAAGGCCACAGCCGAGGCAGCCUUUGAAGCCACUGAAGAAACAUCAGCAACAACGACUCUUGUCGGCGAUACGGAUAAGGGAGAAGAGGCCGAGAGUGAAAGUGAAUGUGAUAUAUUGGGCAACAAGCAGCUGAUAAAGCGCAUCAUCAAGAAGGCACCGGAAGAUGCCAAAACUCCCAGUCGCGGUGAACUGGUCACCAUAAGUUUUAACGGCAAACUCGAGGAUGGCAAAGUGGUAGAGGAGGAAAAGAACUUUCAGUGUCAUGUUGGCGACUAUGAGGUGGUCCAGGGCUUGGAUAUGAUACUGCCCAUGCUUAAAGUUGGUGAAGUCGCCGAAGUGGUUGUGGAUCCCAGAUUUGGCUACGGGACGCUUGGGCUAAAAAAAGACAACGACGGGGACUUCAUCGUCCCACCUAAUGCACUUCUUACUUAUGAAAUAGAGCUGCUGGAUAGCAAAUACGAAGAGUUUGCCGAUCUGAAGACCUUUGAAGUGAUCCGCAAAUAUGGAACCCGAAAGAAAGAGCGUGCCAACUACUUUUUCAAGCGGUUGGAAUAUAAUACUGCCAUUCACUUGUACAGACGAGCUCUCGACUAUUUGGACACACGUGAUGGGGAUCCGGAAUCUGAAUUUGACAAAGAAGAUUUGCAACUCUCCAACAGUGAAACGCAGGCCAUUCUGGAUGAUCGUUUGAUUGUCUAUAACAAUCUGGCCAUGACUCAGAUCAAAAUUUCGGCCUUCGACGCAGCCCUCAAGUCUGUGGAGAAUGUCUUGCGAUGUCAGCCGAAUAACCCAAAGGCCUUGUAUCGCAAGGGAAGAAUACUGGAAGGCAAGAACGACACGCAGGGUGCUAUUAAGUUGUUCCAAAAGGUGGCUACUCUCGAGCCUGAAAAUCGCGGAGUUCAACAAGAUCUGGCCAGGCUUUUCAUCAAGGCGCGUCGCGAUCAACACAACGAAAAAGAAAUGUAUCAGAAGAUGUUGGGCCAGGCCAAGAAAAUGGAACAAAAGACUGCUGCCCGACAAAAGCAACCCCUCGUGGAAAAUUCCAAGCUGAAACUUCUGGGCUAUCUAAUGGGUUCUAUAUUGAUUGGCGUCGCUGGCGUUGCCAUUUAUCGUUACAAGUACUAAGGACAAGACUUGCACUCGAUAUCCACUGUGUAAUUUGGGCAAAUGAAAUGCAUUUUGAAAACUAUACGCAGAACAGUCAAAAUUAUGAACGUUGAAAUGCCGUAAUUGCUUACUUCUAAACAAAUGGCUCUUGUUGUACAACUUACACUAUGCACACUUUAUGCAUUUGUCAAAGUACCAGGAUUGCAACUAUUCGUUCUAGUCUGUCUUGUGCUUUGUGGUUUCUUUCGGUAAGAAUGGAUAUUCUGUGCAUAGUAGAGCAUGGCUUUAGGUUAGUGAGAGUCUGAAGCUCAAGGUUCCAGUAUAUUGAAAGAUAUCCUUACAAUUACUCUCUCAGUCGAAGUACCUUAGAUUUUGUAUUUCCGAUUAACGCAUUUAAAUUGAACGCCGGGUUAUCGAACCCAAAAAUGAGCAACAUUGCUGGUAUAUUUAUGCUACUUGUAAGGGUAUUUUUCAUUCAUUUUGCGGUAUAUUAGAGAACAUUCCCUCCAUUUUGUGCUAUAUUAAAGUAUAUUUCAUCCAAUUUCUGGCAUAUAAUGGAAUAUUUAUGCUAUUUUGUAGUAUAUUUUAACCACACGACUUAGGUAAAAUGUAGCACAUUUUCGAUGCUGAAUCAUUGCCCCGCAAUAUUUAAUUAACUGCACAAAACGGUUGUUUUUGCAGUGUCAGUGGAGGUGUGCAGCUUUAAAAAUCAAUUUUAUAUUUCAAUACGUAGCAGCC